GUGAUGUCUCAGCUCUAUCUUUUUAAGACUUCUGGUGCCUGAGGAAGCCAAGAUGUGCCAGUUAUCGGGCGGUGCUGCCCCCAGUUUAUCGGGGCGGAGCCAGAGCAGCCUCCCUGGACGCCUGGCUUUAGGGCGAAGCCAGCACCAGAGGCUUGUUUGGUGAAAAGUCUCUCAAGUUAAUGGAACUGUUUUGCUUUGAAAGAGCUGAAAAUGGAAGUUCUCAGUCUGGGAGUUUUAAGUACCUGCCCAAUCAAAUAUGGACAAUAAACAAAUGAUCAUCCA